rnacentral:rRNA from 1 species
AUUGAACGCUGGCGGCAGGCUUAACACAUGCAAGUCGAGCGGAGAUGAGGUGCUUGCACCUUAUCUUAGCGGCGGACGGGUGAGUAAUGCUUAGGAAUCUGCCUAUUAGUGGGGGACCACAUUCCGAAAGGAAUGCUAAUACCGCAUACGUCCUACGGGAGAACUCAGGGGAUCUUCGGACCUUGCGCUAAUAGAUGAGCCUAGGUAGGAUUAGCUAGUUGGUGGGGUAAAGGCCUACCAAGGCGACGAUCUGUGGCGGGUCUGAGAGGAUGAUCCGCCACACUGGGACUGAGACACGGCCCAGACUCCUACGGGAGGCAGCAGUGGGGAAUAUUGGACAAUGGGGGGAACCCUGAUCCAGCCAUGCCGCGUGUGUGAAGAAGGCCUUAUGGUUGUAAAGCACUUUAAGCGAGGAGGAGGCUACUGAGACUAAUACUCUUGGAUAGUGGACGUUACUCGCAGAAUAAGCACCGGCUAACUCUGUGGCAGCCGCCGCCGUAA